rnacentral:pre_miRNA from 1 species
CCAAUCCUUGUAUGUCUGAGAGACAAGUAGUGUUGAGAAGUCCCUCAACACUACUUGUCUCUCAGACAUACAAGGAUUGGACUUCUCAACACUACUUGUCUCUCAGACAUACAAGGAUUGGACUU